CAUAGCGACUAUCGUGGCAUAUCAAUAAGCGAGGAAAAGAAACUAACAAGGAUUCCCCUAGUAACGGCGAGUGAAGCGGGAAGAGCUCAAAUUUGAAAUCUUAAAGGGUUUCCCUUUACGAAUUGUAGUUUAAAGAAGUGUUUUCUGUUGGAGUUUCGGUAAAAGUUCUUUGGAAUAGGACAUCAUAGAGGGUGAGAAUCCCGUAUUUGACUAUUCUUUCUAGCUUUGUGAUACACUUUCAAAGAGUCGGAUUGUUUGGGAAUGCAGUCCAAAAUGGGUGGUAAAUUUCAUCUAAAGCUAAAUAUUGGCGAGAGACCGAUAGCGAACAAGUAUCGUGAGGGAAAGAUGAAAAGAACUUUGAAAAGAGAGUUAAACAGUACGUGAAAUUGUCAAAAGGGAAGCGUUUGACACCAGUGUUGUUUUUCCGAAAAUCAAUUAUGAAUGGCUUGAUUUUAAGUUUCAUGACCUUAAAAGCUUGUUUCUUAUUUUUCAUGUCUUUCGUAAUGCACUUUUCGGUUAACAAGUCAACAUCAAUUUCUUUUGUUGUAAAAGGUUAAGAGGAAGGUGGCUUUACUUUCGGGUAAAGUGUUUAUAGCCCUUUAACUCUGCAAUCGGAGAGAUUGAGGUCUGCAGCGUAGAUCCUUCGGGGUUAGAUACAUUUGUGCUAAGUUAUAGCUUUUCAUAGACAACUUGUUGACUAUGUUAAGUCUUGUAAUUUACUCGCAGAUGCUAUUUUACCUACGCUUAGGAUGUUGAUAUGCAUGACUGAUAU
rnacentral:rRNA from 1 species